rnacentral:rRNA from 1 species
ACCAAGCUUCCAGGAAAGGCCACUAAGCUUCAGUCUAGAGUUGACCGUACCGCAAACCGACACAGGUGGGCAGGAUGAAAAUUCUAAGGCGCUUGAGAGAACUCAGGAGAAGGAACUCGGCAAAUUAACACCGUAACUUCGGGAGAAGGUGGGCCCCGGUAGCGUGUAGAGACUUGCUCUCGAAGCGCGAUGGGGUUGCAGUGAAAUGGUGGCUGCGACUGUUUAAUAAAAACACAGCACUCUGCAAACACGAAAGUGGACGUAUAGGGUGUGACGCCUGCCCGGUGCCGGAAGGUUAAGUGAUGGGGUGCAAGCUCUUGAUCGAAGCCCCGGUAAACGGCGGCCGUAACAAUAACGGUCCUAAGGUAGCGAAAUUCCUUGUCGGGUAAGUUCCGACCUGCACGAAUGGCGUAACGAUGGCCACACUGUCUCCUCCUGGGACUCAGCGAAGUUGAAAUGUUUGUGAAGAUGCAAUCUACCCGCGGCUAGACGGAAAGACCCCAUGAACCUUUACUGUAGCUUUGCAUUGGACUUUGAACCGGUUUGUGUAGGAUAGGUGGGAGACUGUGAAGCCGGGACGCUAGUUUCGGUGGAGUCAACCUUGAAAUACCACCCUGAUUUGUUUGAGGUUCUAACCUUGGUCCGUGAAUCCGGAUCGGGGACCGUGCAUGGUAGGCAGUUUGACUGGGGCGGUCUCCUCCCAAAAGGUAACGGAGGAGUACGAAGGUACGCUUAGGGCGGUCGGACAUCGCCCACAAAGUGCAAUGGCAAAAGCGUGCUUGACUGCGAGACCCACAAGUCGAGCAGGUACGAAAGUAGGUCAUAGUGAUCCGGUGGUUCUGUACGGAAGGGCCAUCGUUCAACGGAUAAAAGGUACUCUGGGGAUAACAGGCUAAUUCCUCCCAAGAGUUCAUAUCGACGGGGGAGUUUGGCACCUCGAUGUCGGCUCAUCACAUCCUGGGGCUGUAGUCGGUCCCAAGGGUAUGGCUGUUCGCCAUUUAAAGUGGUACGCGAGCUGGGUUUAAAACGUCGUGAGACAGUUUGGUCCCUAUCUGCCGUGGGCGCUGGAAAUUUGAAGGGGGCUGCUCCUAGUACGAGAGGACCGGAGUGGACGAACCUCUGGUGUACCGGUUAUGACGCCAGUCGUAUCGCCGGGUAGCUAAGUUCGGAAGAGAUAAACGCUGAAAGCAUCUAAGCGUGAAACUCGCCUUAAGAUAAGAUUUCCCGGAGUCUUGAACUCCCUGAAGGGUCGUCGAAGACCACGACGUUGAUAGGUCAGGUGUGGAAGCGCAGCAAUGCGUUAAGCUAACUGAUACUAAUUGCCCGUGCGGCUUGAUC